rnacentral:rRNA from 1 species
UACGUAGGUGGCAAGCGUUGUCCGGAUUUACUGGGCGUAAAGAGCGCGCAGGCGGUUGAUUAAGUCGAAUGUGAAAGCCCCCGGCUCAACUGGGGAGGGUCAUUCGAUACUGAUUGACUUGAAGGCAGGAGAGAGAAGUGGAAUUCCCGGUGUAGUGGUGAAAUGCGCAGAUAUCAGGAGGAACACCAAUGGCGAAGGCAGCUCGCUGGGACGGUACUGACGCUGAGGCGCGAAAGCGUGGGGAGCAAACAGG